CUUCGGUACAUCGGUGACAGGUGGUGCAUGGUUGUCGUCAGCUCGUGUCGUGAGAUGUUGGGUUAAGUCCCGCAACGAGCGCAACCCCUAUUGUUAGUUGCCAUCAUUCAGUUGGGCACUCUAGCGAGACUGCCGGUAAUAAACCGGAGGAAGGUGGGGAUGACGUCAAAUCAUCAUGCCCCUUAUGACCUGGGCUACACACGUGCUACAAUGGUUGGUACAACGAGUUGCGAGUCGGUGACGGCGAGCUAAUCUCUUUAAAGCCAAUCUCAGUUCGGAUUGUAGGCUGCAACUCGCCUACAUGAAGUCGGAAUCGCUAGUAAUCGCGGAUCAGCACGCCGCGGUGAAUACGUUCCCGGGCCUU
rnacentral:rRNA from 1 species